UAGGAGGAGGCACUGAACUCCCUGGAGGCUCUCUGAAUUCCCCAUCUCAGUCCUCACAAUUCAGGAACUCUAGCUCCCCCAGACCCACACACCUACCUUUAAGAGAGGGGCCUGGGCUUUAGGUAUUUAACUCCCCUUUGGGGGACCUGGUUUAAGGGUCCUCGCCUGAGCCUACGUGUGUCUGCAGGUGCCCGAAAACAGACACCCACUGGUACUGGGGAAAGACUUGUGAGUUCAGAACCAGCAAGAGACUGGUGUAUGGCCUCGUGGGCACCGUGCUGGUAUUGCUACUUGUCCUUGUGAUCGUCUUGGCUGUCUUCCUCAGCCACUCCCAGAGAAGUCGGCACAGGUCAACGUAUGACCUGUCUCAAGCACGGCAGAGAGAAGCUGUUCCUGGAACUUUCAAGAACAGUGUUUGGGAAGCUGACAAUCUGAAAGAGGACAAAUUUGGCCUUGAGAAAGGAUACGGUCACUUUCGGCCGAACCUGGAGAAUGUGGACUCGAAAACCAAGCUCAGAGGCUCAAGGUGGUGAAAUCGGCAUCCCUGUGAGGACAGGACGCACCUGCUCCGCCCUCCCCCUCCCCCUCCCCCAUCCAAAUGUAGACGAGAGAAGGACAGAGCCCCCACUACCAAUACCCAAUACCAGGUAUUUCUGCUUGGUAAAGAUGAAGCUGACACCAGGUCCCACCAGCUGUUCUGGGGUGCUCCGACUCAGUCCGUGCGCCCAAGCAGCUGAGAACAGAGGCCUGGCAGGUACCUCCUCCUCCUCACCCUUGCCUCCAUGUUCCAGGAACACAAAGACUUCCAGACACCUCAGCAUCUUUGUUGGCAUGUAGGUAUUGCCCUAUUGCCCUAUUCCCUAUUAA